GAUGAACGCUGGCGGCGUGCCUAAUACAUGCAAGUCGAGCGAACAGACGAGGAGCUUGCUCCUCUGACGUUAGCGGCGGACGGGUGAGUAACACAUGGAUAACCUACCUAUAAGACUGGGAUAACUUCGGGAAACCGGAGCUAAUACCGGAUAAUAUAUUGAACCGCAUGGUUCAAUAGUGAAAGACGGUUUUGCUGUCACUUAUAGAUGGAUCCGCGCCGCAUUAGCUAGUUGGUAAGGUAACGGCUUACCAAGGCGACGACGCGUAGCCGACCUGAGAGGGUGAUCGGCCACACUGGAACUGAGACACGGUCCAGACUCCUACGGGAGGCAGCAGUAGGGAAUCUUCCGCAAUGGGCGAAAGCCUGACGGAGCAACGCCGCGUGAGUGAUGAAGGUCUUCGGAUCGUAAAACUCUGUUAUUAGGGAAGAACAAAUGUGUAAGUAACUAUGCACGUCUUGACGGUACCUAAUCAGAAAGCCACGGCUAACUACGUG
rnacentral:rRNA from 1 species